AUUGAACGCUGGCGGCAUGCCUUACACAUGCAAGUCGAACGGUAACAGGUCUUCGGAUGCUGACGAGUGGCGAACGGGUGAGUAAUACAUCGGAACGUGCCCGAUCGUGGGGGAUAACGGAGCGAAAGCUUUGCUAAUACCGCACACGAUCUACGGAUGAAAGCAGGGGACCGCAAGGCCUUGCGCGGACGGAGCGGCCGAUGGCAGAUUAGGUAGUUGGUGGGAUAAAAGCUUACCAAGCCGACGAUCUGUAGCUGGUCUGAGAGGACGACCAGCCACACUGGGACUGAGACACGGCCCAGACUCCUACGGGAGGCAGCAGUGGGGAAUUUUGGACAAUGGGCGCAAGCCUGAUCCAGCCAUGCCGCGUGCAGGAUGAAGGCCUUCGGGUUGUAAACUGCUUUUGUACGGAACGAAAAGACUCUGGUUAAUACCUGGGGUUCAUGACGGUACCGUAAGAAUAAGCACCGGCUAACUACGUGCCAGCCGCCGCCGUAACAC
rnacentral:rRNA from 1 species